rnacentral:rRNA from 1 species
AGAAUCAACGCUGGCGGCGUGCCUAACACAUGCAAGUCGCACGAGAAAGGGUAGCAAUACCUGAGUAAAGUGGCGCACGGGUGAGUAACACGUGAAUGAUCUACCUCCGAGUGGGGAAUAACUGAGAGAAAUCUUAGCUAAUACCGCAUAACACUUACGAGUCAAAGCAGCAAUGCGCUUGGAGAGGAGUUCGCGGCCGAUUAGUUAGUUGGCGGGGUAAUGGCCCACCAAGACGAUGAU